rnacentral:lncRNA from 1 species
UUCCGCUCUGUCCGUGCAUCUUUAUGGGUGCGAGAGCGGUGAAUGCAGGGUGCGGAGAGGACCUCGGCUCUGCGGAGGUCCGGGGGAGCGACCCUCCCGGGAGCUGCAGGACAAGGCAGGAUGGCGGCCCCGAGUUCCUGCGGCGACGUGAGCGUUAGCGGAAGGCGAGAAUUCGCAGAAAGAAAAAAUAAGGGAGAAAGGAGAGAAACGAGGCUAUAAAUAGUCCAACAACUUAUCCACUCUUUUUAAAGAGCAGAAGAAAAGUUUAAAGGGUAAGGGGGCAGGAAGUGGUAACACAUGCCCCCACCCCACCCCCCGGCGUAUUGGAGGUAGAGGUAGGGGAGAAUCAGGAGUUCAAAACCAGCCUCAGCUCCAUCGCAGAUUCCAAGCCAGUUUGAGCAACAUGAGAACCGGUCUCAAUAAGAAAGAAAACAAACCCCCGAGUGAUUAAGGGGGAAAAGGAAGUGUAUUGGUUAGGCUUUUGAGGUUUUCUUCCCAUAGAAGUUUCAGAUCGCAUGACCAGACUUUUGGCCAUGGUUACUACAAAUAAAUAUUGAGUCAUUUUUUUAGUCUUUGGAUCCCAAAUUAGCAAGGAGAAAAGUGUGAGUGGAACCAAGGCAGAUGAGGAAAUUUAAAAGUUAAAGGAUUCAGCCGGGCACUUGUAAUCCCAGCAUCCAGGAGGCUGAGGCAGGAGGAUUGCUAUAUGUUGGGAGGUUAUCCCGGGCUACAGUGUGAGAGACCCUAUCUCCCAAAUAUCAUGGUGGUACACACCUUUAAUUAGGUGGAUUUCUGAGUUGGAUCAUCCGCCACUAAAUAGACCAGGUUUCAAAAUGAAACAAAACAAAAAUCCUUACAGAAACCAUAUAAGGAGGAAAUUAAGGUAAAGCCAGGUUUACUGUUAGAUGAUUUGUAAUCCUAUCACUCAGUAGGCUGAGGCAGGAGAAUUGGACCUUCAAGGGCUGAGUUCUGGAACUAACCUGUAGGACAAAGAAAUAUGGAUAGGGUCCAAGUGCAUACCUGUCUGAUUCCGUCGCUUCCUUCGAGGGAUGGUGGUGCAUGCUUGUGGUCUAGCACUUGGGAGGCUAAGUCAGGAGUAUCUUAGGCCCAAAGGCCAUGUGAGCUGCAUAGUUCCAGGCUGAGAGUGGGAGAGAGAGAAGAGUUAGAAAACAAGGCAAUGAAUGGGCUGGAGAGAUGGCUCAGCAGUUUAGAACACUGGCUGCUCUUUCAGAGGUCCUGAGUUCAAAUCCCAGCACCUACAUGGUGGCUCAAAAAUCAUCUCUAAUGAGAACUGGUGCCCCCUUCUGGUCUGCAGGCAUGCAUGCAGGCGGAACACUACACAUAAUAAAUCAUUUGCUUUCUGUCACCAUGUGGAAACACCAGCCAAAGCCAAGGCUUUCACAUCCUGAUCACCGUCCAUCCUGGUGGGAAGUCUGGGCAGAGCACGAGGGAUGCGAUGACUGACUUGCUCUCUAGGGCUCACACUAAACACCUUACACCUCCAGGACUACUUGCCUGGUAGUGUCACCCACAAUGCACUGAGCCUCCCACACCAAUCAUUAAUCAAGAAAAUAACUACAGGGCUGCGGAGGUGACUCAGCAUUUAAGAACAUUUGUUGCUCUUGCAAAGGACCUGGUUCGAUUCCCAGCUCCCACAGUAAUCUAGCUUCGGGGCAUUGAAUGGGUUAUUAGGCACCAGCGAUGCACAUGGUGCACGUGAGUAUUUGCAGGCAAAACACUCAAAAACAUAGUUUUUAGAAAAGAAAAUAAGUCCAUAGAUCUACCUACAGGCAAUAUAAUGGGCUCAUUUUCUCAACUGAAGUUCCGCGUUUAAGAUGACUCUAGCCUUUGUCAACUUGACCAGACAUUUUUUUUUUCCUUUUUUUGAGACGGGAUCUCACUAUAUAGCUAUAUAUCAUGGACUGUCCUGGAACUCACUGUGUAGAGUGAGCUAUCCUCUAACUCACCAAAGGCUGCCUACCUCAGCCUUCCAGGUGUUGGGAUUAAAGUUGUGCAACACCACACCUGAGUAUAAUCAAGAUUUUUAAACCACUAUUGAUAGCUCACAGAGAGAAGCAGGAAGAUCAACCAGAGACUAUUACAGGUGUUCAGGUGAGCAAUGAAGUUGACUUGGACCAAGCAGAAACAGUGGGAAUGAGUUGUCGGACUUCAGUGAACAUUAUUUGCAAGUGGGUUAGAUGCAAGGCAUGAACAGAAGAGUUUUAAGAGUGACAUCAUAGGGGCUGGAGAGAUGGUUCAGUGGUUACAAGCACUGGCUGUUCUUACAGAGGUCCUGGCUUCUGUUGCCAACACCCACAAAAUGGCUCAACUGUCAAACUCCAAUUCCAGAGGGUUCUGAUGCCCUCUUCUGGUCUCCACGGGCACUGCAUGUGAUGUACACAUACUUGAAGGAAAAAAAAAAUAAACUUUAUUAGUUUGUUUUUU